rnacentral:rRNA from 1 species
ACAUACCUAAACGUUGCUUCGGCGGGAAUAGACGGCCCCGUGAAAACGGGCCGCCCCCGCCAGAGGACCCUUAACUUCUGUUUCUAUAAUGUUUCUUCUGAGUAAAACAAGCAAAUAAAUUAAAACUUUCAACAACGGAUCUCUUGGCUCUGGCAUCGAUGAAGAACGCAGCGAAAUGCGAUAAGUAAUGUGAAUUGCAGAAUUCAGUGAAUCAUCGAAUCUUUGAACGCACAUUGCGCCCGCCAGUAUUCUGGCGGGCAUGCCUGUUCGAGCGUCAUUACAACCCUCAGGCCCCCGGGCCUGGCGUUGGGGAUCGGCGGAGCCUCUCUGCGGGCACACGCCGUCCCCCAAAUACAGUGGCGGUCCCGCCGCAGCUUCCAUCGCGUAGUAGCUAACACCUCGCGACUUGGGGAGCGGCGCGGCCACGCCGUAAAACACCCAACUCUUCUGAAGUUGACCUCGAAUCAGGUAGGAAUACCCGC